UACGUAGGGGGCAAGCGUUAUCCGGAUUUACUGGGUGUAAAGGGAGCGUAGACGGCAGUGCAAGUCUGGAGUGAAAGGCGGUGGCUCAACCCCCGGACUGCUCUGGAAACUGUACGGCUGGAGUGCAGGAGAGGUAAGUGGAAUUCCUAGUGUAGCGGUGAAAUGCGUAGAUAUUAGGAGGAACACCAGUGGCGAAGGCGGCUUACUGGACUGUAACUGACGUUGAGGCUCGAAAGCGUGGGGAGCAAACAGG
rnacentral:rRNA from 1 species